rnacentral:rRNA from 1 species
AUGUUUCACAAGCAUAUUGCCCAAUCAGCUGCUUGUCCCAGGUGUCAAGACCCGCAUGAGGAUGCACUCCAUCUCAUCUCCAACUGUUCCUACGCAACUCAGGUUUGGUCUUCUCUGGGUCUGCCGUCGCCAAACUCCCUGGAUGAUCUGCACCAACAUCCAACGAUUAUUGGCCUCGACCCCAACAUCUGGCCUUCGGUCGCUCUGACUAUUACAUGGAAAAUUUGGGACUCCAGAAAUGCCCUCAUCUUCAGAAACGAGGAUCACUCCCACAGAACUACAAUACGUAACAUUGUAGCAGAUUUCUCCCUCUGGGUCUUCCGGUUCAAAAAGAACAAAGACAAUAUCUCUGCUAAGCAAUGGCUGAAUUUCCUCUCUGCUGCUCUUCAUGAAAACCUGUUGUUGUAA